rnacentral:rRNA from 1 species
UACAGAGGUCUCAAGCGUUGUUCGGAUUCAUUGGGCGUAAAGGGUGCGUAGGCGGCGCGGUAAGUCGGGUGUGAAAUCUCGGGGCUUAACUCCGAAACUGCAUUCGAUACUGCCGUGCUUGAGGACUGGAGAGGAGACUGGAAUUUACGGUGUAGCGGUGAAAUGCGUAGAUAUCGUAAGGAAGACCAGUGGCGAAGGCGGGUCUCUGGACAGUUCCUGACACUGAGACACGGAAGGCCAGGGGAGCAAAACGGG